AGGCACGUAUCUUUGCUUUUAGUACUCAACUUCAUGAGUAUGAUGAUAAGUUUCACUUUCUCUAGAAACAAAACCUCUCUUCUUCUUCACACUUUGAAUCUCUAAAAUUUCAACACCUCUCAAACCACAAACACAACAACUCUCCAUCACAAAUCAAGAUCCAUGGCCGAAACUCUCCACCCAUAAAUCAUCAAAUUCUUCCUUUAAUCUUCAUCUCUAUACCACCAUAUCAACCAUAAAAACUCAUCUUUUUCUCACCCUAAACCCUAGCACGAAAAUCUAACCAAUACCCAACCUUUACCAAAACAACCAUAGGUCCAAAGAGCGGAAGAUAUGUCAAUCUUGAACUUAGAAAACAAGAGAAGCAGUAUUUGGAAGAGAUGGCGCAAGCAACACAGAGGUUUCCAGGUCUCUUUCAUCCAUGUGGCAGUUCGGGUGGCCAGUGAUGUGGCCACAGUUUGCAGUUUCAGGAGUUUUACAUGUUGCUCCUUCUUAUCUACUUUAUGUCAUGCACUUUUCUUUUAGUUUUUAGUAAAGAAAAAAAACAAAAACAAAAAAAAAAAAAUGGAAAAAGAAGAAGAAAAAAAAAAGAGUCGGUCAUAGACGUCGUUUGCUGACAAUCCCUUGUGUUUCACCCUUAUGUUACUUUGUUUAUUAUCAAGUUGAAUGUUUUUAUAUCUUUUCAGAAUUGUCAGUGUGUUAAUACCUGAAUUUGCAUGAUAACAAUCUCUUAGACUUGCACAUAAAAGAAUAACGGACGUGUGACUGCUCAUGAAAGUGUGAUGGUUAAAGAGACAGAGAGAUGAAUUGGAAAGAUGGAGUUUUGCACGGUGUACUAGUUCGAUCUUCAGAUACCUUAGCUGGUGAGCAUAUUGAGCCAAAUAAAUUCCACGGUAUACUUUUUCUUUCACAUCUUAUGAGUGUAUCCAUGCUGUGUAUAUUUUUUAGAACUUGCGACUAUUCUCUACUGUUGAUUGGUUUUGCAUUUACACACAUAGAGGCACAUUUGUU
rnacentral:lncRNA from 1 species